AGCAGCAGCAGGGUGACGCUGUCACCAUGAGUAGCAGCACGAGGGAGGACAUGCUGAAAUCCUGGAGCCUGGCAAGUACUCGCUGGGAUGUGAGGCAGGAGGGCUAAAGAGCAUGUUGCCUUCCUGCCAUAGAAUAAAGCUUCUUAGCGUCUUUACCUUUGUGCUAUUAAAAUUGCUCAGGCACCGUAGAAACAAUCAAAAUGUAACCAGAGGAGCUGAACAUUAGCAAGAUAUUAAAUAAAUAAAUACGAAUCAAAUAAGAAGAAGGAGACAACGACCUGCUGUCAAAGCGUGAAGGACAAAUUGCUUGCUUCUUCCAAGGGAUCUGCUGAGAGGUGGGAACCGGUAGAAGCCAUCUGAGGCCUUGAAAAUUCAAAGUGAAAAGAGAAGAACCACUCCUGCAGAAGACAUUUCGUCAUUGGGUAUCCACAAUACUCUGAAAUACCCCCUCCACUGAGGAAAUAAAUCUACAUACAUAAGCACUGACAAGACACAGGUAUACAUUAUGGAUAACAUCUAUCUUACCACCUUCUUCCACUUCCUGAAGCAAUUUGGAAGUUUCUACAAGAAGAAAUCUUUUGAGACCAUGGAAAAUAAGUGGAUAUUCUGCCUCAUUCAUCUUCUAUUUGUUUAUUUUGGAGGUCACAACAGAGCAGUGUGCAGUGGACCAAAAACUGGAUGUUUACAACGGAUCUUGGGGAAUGAAAGAAGUUAUACCAUAACUGCCUGCACUCCAGGAGGCAGAGAUAACAUAUAGCUGCUGAAAGGGAAAAUAAUGUAGCAGUCCCAAAUGACUUCCAACAAGUUAUGUUCCAUCUUACUAGUGUUCUGGUAAAGAAGGAAAAAAUAUUUUAUUUCCUCCCCCUUUACCAUGGGAGUAAUUUAUGAGGUUUUGAAAUUUUUUAUGUUCUGUCACUUUUGCUCUCCAUUCUUGUUUUCUUCCUUUUUUCCCCUAUGCCCUUAUAUUUGGGAGUACUUCUCACAUACAUUGUCACAGGUUUCAUAGUGAUUUGCCCAUCUACCCUUAAUUAGCUUCUCUAUUUUAUGUUUUUUAAACCAGGAGUUCAAAAACAGAAGUUGCUUAAAUGGUUUGAAGUUAUUUAACUCUCUGCUACUGGCUUGACUGGCUUUUCUUUAAUUCAAGAAAAAAACAAAUCAGAGUUCUGACCAUCGGUACAUUUUCCUCAUAUUAUACACUUUUAAAGAGAAAUAAAAUUCCACUUCACCGGAACAACAUUUUUUCCACAGAUUUUCAACAGAUUCAGAACAUAUAUCUCCCAGAGUGGCUGGACCGGAUGAAAUGUAGAGCUGUAUGAAGUGCUAAUGAACAGCAAACAUAAAAAGGAAAUUGGCAGCCAGUGAAAAUGAAAAAAAAGUUCAGUUAUAAAAAAAGCAGCACCAAUGUUUGUUCUUAGAUUUUUUUAGAAUCUGCCUAAAUUCUAGUGUUCUAUCCACAUUAUUAUUCCCAUUGCCUCCUCUUCAGCCGUGUUUUGCCUCCAAAGUGGCAUGAAAUGUGCCUAUGCAGCCUUCUCUUUCCACCUGCCACAGAAAAGAAAUCUUGCCUGGACAAGAUCUUUACUGUGUUCAAACAGAUCAGAAAAAAGCAGACUAGGCCUUGGGGGUUUGUCUCCUAAAGUAUCCCAGUAAGGUAGGUCACAAGACAAACCCGUUAAAUCUGCUCCGUGAGUUUCAAAUGAAUGCCUGAGAGGAUUACAAAAAUCUAAACCUCGAUUUAAAACAGCAACAACAACAAAGUCUAAACAAAAAAAAAAAAAAAACAAACCAACAGCGACAAAACAGGAAAAUAAAAUUCAUAGAUACGGAAGACUUUUUAUAGAGUAACUUAAUGGCCAAACUGUGGCUGAUGUAUAGCCAUACAAGACAAAACACAAUGAAAUAACAUAUUAAGACAAAGAUCAUACAGAAAUGUGAACUCAGUUGUAAUCUAGCUUGAUGUAAGAACUCAGCUGCAGCAGCAAGUUUAAAAUCAUCAUGCAUCCCACUGGACAUGGUGUAGCGCUCUGACUCUUGAGCUACAGAUGAGUCACAGAACUUGUGCCAGAAAAUAAAGUCAGUGAGAUAAAAGCUGGACUGAUAUAGAAUUUUUUUGUCCUUGUGCUGGUUCUAUUAUUUGUUUUCUACUGUUCUUACUUUGUUGCCAGGAUAAUUCAAUCCAAUUUAAAGUAACUCCUGUAGUAAGUCCAGUUAUUUUACAGAAAUUAUGAGAUUGCUCAGAGAAGUAGGUACUUCUCAAUGUAAACUGACUACAGCAACAGACCUUAAUGUGUUAACAUGAAUCUACUUCUAUCCUAAUAGAGUUAUAGUACAGUGCUAAUAUGUUAAUGGAAAAAGUAUAAUCAUAAGCAAAAUCCACUGACAUUUGUUUAAAGCACAGUCUAGGAAAAUAAAGAAAGGAAAAUAAAGAAAUGGGUUCUUAAGCUCUUACAUAAAUGAGUAUAACACGGUUUGCAUUCAGCAAUAAAUCACAUGUUCUAUAGGGACCCCCUCCAUCCCAUAUAUUGACA